rnacentral:rRNA from 1 species
CCCGCUGAACUUAAGCAUAUCAAUAAGCGGAGGAAAAGAAACCAACAGGGAUUACCUCAGUAACGGCGAGUGAAGCGGUAACAGCUCAAAUUUGAAAUCUGGCCCUCUCAGGGUCCGAGUUGUAAUUUGUAGACGAUGCUUUGGGUGUGGUGCCGGUCUAAGUUCCUUGGAACAGGACGUCAUAGAGGGUGAGAAUCCCGUAUGUGGUCGGUCGCCUUCGCCCGUGUAAAGCUCGUUCGACGAGUCGAGUUGUUUGGGAAUGCGGCUCAAAAUGGGUGGUAAAUUUCAUCUAAAGCUAAAUAUUGGCCAGAGACCGAUAGCGCACAAGUAGAGUGAUCGAAAGAUGAAAAGCACUUUGGAAAGAGAGUUAAACAGUACGUGAAAUUGUUGAAAGGGAAGCGCUUGCAACCAGACUUGGGCGGUCGCAAUCAUCCGGGGCUCGCCCCGGUGCACUUGCGGCGGCACAGGCCAGCAUCAGUUUGGGUGGUGGGAUAAAGGCCUUGGGAAUGUAGCUUCCUUCGGGGAGUGUUAUAGCCCUCGGUGCAAUGCCGCCUACCCGGACUGAGGACCGCGCUUCGGCUAGGAUGCUGGCGUAAUGGUUGUAAGCGACCCGUCUUGAAACACGG